rnacentral:rRNA from 1 species
AUUGAACGCUGGCGGAAUGCUUAACACAUGCAAGUCGAACGGCAGCACGGUGACAACCCGGGUUUCGGGGGGCGAACGGGCGGGUAAUUCAUCGGAACGUGCCCGUCUGCUGUUUAUAAGGUGGCAACGUUGACGCAAAUACGCCAUACGAGCUGAGGACGAACGGGUGGAACCUUCGGACCUCCGGCCCUCGGGCGAGCCGAUGUCCGAUUAGGUAGUUGGUGGGGUAAAGGCCUACCAAGCCGACGAUCCGUAGCUGGUCUGAGAGGAUGACCAGCCACACUGGAACUGAGACACGGUCCAGACUCCUACGGGAGGCAGCAGUGGGGAAUAUUGGACAAUGGGCGCAAGCCUGAUCCAGCCAUACCGCGUGGGUGAAGAAGGCCUUCGGGUUGUAAAGUCCUUUUGUAUGGAAAGAAAAGGAGCUGGUUAAUACCCCGCGGUCAUGACGGUACCGAAAGAAUAAGCACCGGCUAACUACGUG